GGGUUUUUAUCAUGCAGAUUGCCUCUUCUUUCUAUGGGAGAUGGAGAGGGAACUAUGUGACAGAUUACCUCAUUGGUGUUGACCAUAAAAUUCCAGACUGGUUAAUUAAAAUUAUGUUUCUGGGAGAAGCUGAAAUACCAAUUAGGUCAGGUAUUAAAUCUAGGUUUGGUAUCAUGGGCUUUAGCACAAUGAUGCCAUCUUGGGCCAGUGGUUUUCUCUUUAACAUCGGCUACUACAAAAGGGCAUUGAACCUUAUGGGACGAACUAGUCCAGUAAAUACAAUCUUUUUUUCUAACAGGCUUUAUGAUACGUUGCUUCAAGGAGUCUCUUUACAAGAACAAAGAUGAAGUAAAAACACUAUGGCCACUAGGGAACACACUGCCUUACUUCUUACUUGGAAAAAAAAAUUAUUAGCUGGAAGUUACUUAUCUGUUCACAUUCAUAACCUUUGGACCAAUGGCAUUUCAACCUCUGCCAGACCUGAUGCCAGAAAAACGGAGCUGAAGAAAAGUCAUUGAGCUGGCACAAUAAAUAAAUGAUUGAAGGCAACAGGGAUUGAAGUUUCAUCGUUAUCAGUUUCAGUGGGGACGUGAAAAUGCUUCUCUGAAAAGCUGCACAAAAAUAUCUCAAGGAGACCGAAUGCUCACCGCACUGGCUAACCAUAAAAGAUGGAAAUUUCAUUUUUGCCACAUUUUCAACCCUUUUUUCACUUAGUACGUGGAAGAGCCAGAUGCCAUAAGAAAAGGCUUUGGAGGGGAAAAAAAGAGACAAAAUAACCAGUGAAUGCCUGGGAAAAUUCACAGAAGAGCAAGAUCUUAUAUUCAGAGCAGAUUGCAUUUACAAAGAAAGGACUGUAAAUGGAAAUUAAGCAAAUUGGAUCUUAUUUUCAGAAAAUAUAAAAAUAAAGAACAUAUUCCCAACUCAGGGCCUGAGUUAAUUUCUUUAGCAAAACCUUUCAACAUGAUGCCUAAUAAACUAGUAUGUAUAUCACCCUAAGAACUUUCAUGAAAAAAUCAUUAACCAAAAAUUGCAUUUAAUAUGUGGAAGCACAUGGUAUACGAUACAGAAUUAUUUUACUUCAUAAUCUCUGCCUAUCUAUUCAAUAACAAAACCUAAAGUGAAAGGACCUUUUUCAAGUCCUUGAAUCCAGGAGGGCAUCUGUGGGGAGAUUUUCAAAGACAUCUUUGGAAAGGCUGGAAGUAAUAUGCAGUUACCUGGUAGUUUGGGGGGACAUUGGUCCAGUCACCUGUGUUUUGCUUCUUUCUUUUCAUUGCUGCAAAUUUUUCUGUCAGGAUCUGAGACAUUGGAGAGAUUAAAUUGUUGAUUUUUUUUUCCUUCUUUGAAAUCAAGGUCUUCCUGUUCUCCUGAGUUAUCAUCUCCCUGGCACUAGCUGCUUCCCAUUGUGCCUGAUGCUGUGAAUCAGCCUUGGAUUUUCUACCCUUUGAUCCUUCAUUGAGUUGUUGUUUCACAGUAUCAAAAAGACUCGAAAGCUAUAACUUGAAUAGUGGCCAUACUCAAAGGAACACUAUGCCAGACUUGAUCUUGAAUACACAAAGUCAAAACCCCUUCCAUUUAAGACAAAACCUUCUGUUUAACCUGAUAGUAAGGGAAUGAAACUGUCCUUAAAAGACUGAUUUUUCUUUCUAGCUACGUCUGAAGAUUUUAAGAAUUGAUAUUAUGGUUGAUUGAUUGUGAUUGUAUAAUGUACACAAAAUUACAAUUUAUAAAUAAAGAUAAAAAUAAAAUCCA